CAGCCAAUUAUCCACAGAGAGACAAUGCCCACGUGAACAAAGCAAAGAUUUGAUAGAUUCCUGAAGAUUGAAGUUUGUCGGGGCACUAUCUCUCGCUCUUAUCCAUCGCCUAGAGGGACACGCAUGCAUCCCUACUACAUAUAAAAUAAGAGGUGCAUUCUCCCGGAAGCCAUCCAGAGAGAUGCUCUCUCGCCUAUAAAAGGAGACACUUGUUGCGAAGAGAAAAAUAACGCCAGACGGAGAAGAGCCACCAGCCACCGAUAGAGCAAAGAGUUGCGACCCAGCUAGCAAACUCGUUGCUCAGUAGUAGUUUUCCUCCUGCAAUAAGAGCCACCAUAUCCAGAGCAUUGUAAGGCUCAAGAAGGUAGUUAGAAGGCAUGAAGAAGUGCAUCGCUGGCAAGCGAAGAAGAAAAGAAGAGCCAACCAAUUAUCCACAGAGGGACAAUGCCCACGUGAACAAAGCAAAGAUUUGAUAGAUUCCUGAAGAUUGAAGUUUGUCGGGGCACUAUCUCUCGCUCUUAUCCAUCGCCUAGAGGGACACGCAUGCAUCCCUACUACAUAUAAAAUAAGAGGUGCAUUCUCCCGGAAGCCAUCCAAAGAGCUGCUCUCUCGCCUAUAAAAGGAGACACUUGCUGCGAAGAGAAAAAGGACACCAGACGGAGAAGAGCCACUAGCCACCGGUAGAGCAAAGAGUUGCGACCCAGCUAGCAAGCUCGUUGCUCAGUAGUAGUAGUAGUAGUAGUAGUUUUCCUCCUUCAAUAAGAGACACCAUAUCCAGAGCAUUGUAAGGCUCAAGAAGGUAGUUAGAAGGUAAUUUUCUUUAGUUUGUGUAAUCCCUUCGGGGCCUCCCGAAAGGGAAAGCCAUAUGUAAAUUAUGUUGUGGAAAUCAUGUAGUUUCUUGGUUUCA